rnacentral:misc_RNA from 1 species
GAUGAAGAACGUAGUAAAAUGCGAUAAGUAAUGUGAAUUGCAGAAUUCAGUGAAUCAUCGAAUCUUUGAACGCACAUUGCGCCCGCCAGUAUUCUGGCGGGCAUGCCUGUUCGAGCGUCAUUUCAACCCUCAAGCACAGCUUGGUGUUGGGACUCGCGUUAAUUCGCGUUCCUCAAAUUGAUUGGCGGUCACGUCGAGCUUCCAUAGCGUAGUAGUAAAACCCUCGUUACUGGUAAUCGUCGCGGCCACGCCGUUAAACCCCAACUUCUGAAUGUUGACCUUGGAUCAGGUAGGAAUACCCGCUGAACUUAAGCAUAUCAAUAAGCGGAGGA